rnacentral:lncRNA from 1 species
CGCCCCGGGACGGUGGGACCCAGCGCCUUGGAGGAAGGGGACCCGGGCAAAGCAGCAGCGCGCAGUGUCAGUCCCGGGGCGGAGACCGAGCGGGAGGAGGUGUGUGUGGGAAAAUUGUCACUGGAACUGGAGGGGAGGUAAGGAUAGUUUUCUUUGCCUUUAUUUUAACCCUGCCCCUUUUCCUGAUGAUAAAGCAGGCAUUUAUUCAUGUUGCAGAUUUUGGAAGGUUCGGAAAUGUUCAGAGCUUCUGCAGAAGGGGCAUCAUGGUCGCCGCUGGGCGGAGGCUGGGGGGCGUCCCUCUGUCUGCAGCAGAAGAGGGAAAGAAGGUCCCUUUUAGAAGGCCCUGCCAGGCCACCUGUGGGCCCUUCAGGAAUUGGGGGUGGAGCGGGCCGAGGUCCUGGAGGUCUGAGAAGUCCGUUUCCCUUCCUCCUCCUCCCGACUAGUCCUUCUCUGCUUCCUCCUCCUCCCCUUCCUCUUCCCCCCCCCCCAGGUCUGGUUCAAGAACCGAAGGGCCAAGUGGAGACACCAGAAGCGUGCCUCAGCCUCUGCAAGGCUCCUGGCAGGGCCCAAGAAACCUCCCAAGGAGCGCAGCUGAUGAUGCUGGGAGCUACUCCUGGCCUUGGCGUUGACCUUUGGGGCCUGCACAGAGAGAGGACAGACCUGCAGGAACAGAAGCUAAGGGGGCGCUGCAGCCUUUUCCAUCACUCUCCACAGUUUCUUGCCACCUGGAACUGGUGCUGGGGCAGGGUAGCAGGCUUGCUGUCACCUCAGAGAUCCUGUGCUGCUGGUCUUGGUAUCUGAACGUUCAGAAUAAGGUUGGAUGAGGGUGAUGUAACUAGUGUCUGUCUGCUCCACUGGACUGUCGGCUCUCUGAAGGCAGGAACGUCACCGUGGAUGUCAUGUAGUCCCCUGAGGAUCCCAAUGGAUGAAGGAAUAACUGCAUAUUGUAAAAGCAAAAUUGUACUGGGGCAGGAUUUGUUUGUUUGACAUAGUUUGCAACCUCUUUUGGGGAAGAAAUUCCUGAAAAAUGCUUAGACAGUGUUCUGUCCCAUUUCAGUGAGAAUUGGCUCUAUUCUGUGAAGUUCAGUCUGGCAUUUAGGAGCCUAAUAAUCUCUAAUUAGACAUUUCUUUAUUAAACUACUAUCUUGUUCUUUUCAAUUAUCUUUUGUUAGAUAACUGUCAAGAAUUGUCUUAGGAUUCUCUUCUUGCAUAAAGUUUGGUACGUGUAUAUAAACAGAUUUUUGGAGUGUUUUUUUAAAUAAUUUAAGCACAUGUUGUGAUUAUUUCGGAGAAAUUGAAAUUUCAAGGCCUUUAGAUUUUCCCCAGUGCUGAAACUUGACAUUACCUUG